CCUACGGGUGGCAGCAGUGAGGAAUAUUGGUCAAUGGCCGAGAGGCUGAACCAGCCAAGUCGCGUGAGGGAAGAAUGUCCUAUGGAUUGUAAACCUCUUUUGUCAGGGAGCAAAGUCACCCACGUGUGGGUGUUGGAGAGUACCUGAAGAAAAAGCAUCGGCUAACUCCGUGCAAGCAGCCGCGGUACUACGGAGGAUGCGAGCGUUCUCCGGAUUUAUUGGGUUUAAAGGGUGCGUAGGCGGGUUAUCAAGUCAGCGGUAAAAUCGUGGAGCUCAACUCCAUCCAGCCGUUGAAACUGAUGAUCGUGAGUGGGCGAGAAGUAUGCGGAAUGCGUGGUGUAGCGGUGAAAUGCAUAGAUAUCACGCAGAACUCCGAUUGCGAAGGCAGCAUACCGGCGCCCGACUGACGCUGAAGCACGAAAGCGUGGGUAUCGAACAGGAUUAGAUACCCGAGUAGUC
rnacentral:rRNA from 1 species